CUGGCGCAGAGCCAGCAAGUGGCGACGGGAAGGUGGCAGGGCCGGGGUGCGCAGAGCAGGAGCUGGCUGCAGGGCACCUGGGGGGGAGACUCGGUUCUCCCUGCCCCGCCCACAGGCCCACGCCGGACUCGCACACGCGGGUCAGGCCAACCUCCAGCCCGAGACACACCGCAGGGAUUGCUGGGCCUCGGCGCGUUGGACGCUGCACCUGCAGUGGGCUCUGUGCAGAGGUGACGGUGACCUUAAAGCUUGUCACCAAUGAUGGGAGCCAGGAAGACCGGCGGUAGGACGCUCAUAGUAAAUGACCCUUUCCAGCGAGAGGCUGGGGGCCGCUAAGAGCUCUAGUGUCUCGGGAGAGAAUAAGCAGAGGCGCAGCCCCCGGGGGUGGGGAGCCGCGCUCCCUCCCAGGCCCGCCCUCUCUCUCUCCGUGGGAGGGGUCACCCCUAGUUUGUACCAGGUCAGAAUAACGGGGCCAAAAUGUUCUGGGAAGUAAGACCCGACCCUGCCCGCACCCCCCGCGGGCACCCCCGCCCCAGGAGCACACAGAGGGCAGGGGCCUGGAGGCUUCUCAGGUCCGAGGUGGAACUUGGGUGAUUUUGAGCAGCUGAGGAUAGAAGGAACAAGGAAGCAGCAAUUUCCCUUCUCAGAAGCAGACUCGGGGUGGAGGGUGGGCUGUCCUCCCCCGGCGCAACGGCGGGAUAGGCAUCCCGUCUGGAGUUUUAGUCUCCCAGCAGAAAGGAGUUUGGCUCAGAUGAAUUGUGCCCGUGGUUUUGUUACUCCGUAGCUAAGCGCCAGGCACCGCUUUCCUGCUUCUCGCAGCCUCCGCAGCCAAAACCAGCAGCAGUGCCACCACUUUGUGGAGGGAAAAUUGGCGGGCAGAGGGCAGUGAGAAAUCGCCAGCUGUCUGUGCACAGCCACAGCAGGAAGCCCUCUGUCCGGAGUUCCCGCAGCGCCCUCACCCGUGACCCAUGGCUCAGAUGCCAUGUGAAUAGACGUCCACGAAUAGACUUCCACCGGUAACCCUACCAGCUUCCCCAGGGAUCCCCGUGCACUUUGCAAGAGGGCAGCCAGCGAGAUUUCGAACACUACGGCUUACCAACAAAGACUGGAAGUUAGGAAACGGUGGAUUUCCAGCUGUUCCGUCUCAACAGAGACGCAUCCAGGUCUAUGGUGACCUCAACCCGGAAAGCAUUGGAUCCAGGCCAUUUCUACAGUUUCGGCAUCGCCAGGACCCAGCUUCUGAAACCCUGCUCUUUGUCCGUCGUUUCCAGUAGAUGAGGAAGUGCCAGGGAAGAAAGGUGUCCCCGUGGGCUGUGCAUGGGGACAGAAAGGGAGCGCUUAGUGCAGUGGCUAAUCCACCAGUGCUUGGAACUGGAGACUCACUUACGGCGCGGGCUGUUGACUUACACGUAUUUGCUGAGCGCUGGGCAUUGGUGCUGUGUGCGGAAGACCAACGAAAAACCCAGCCAGGUACCCCUGACACCCCACCAGCUGCCCAGGGGAAACGGCUCUGCAGGUGGGGAAGGGCCUCGGGUGUCUGAUGAGAAGCAGGAACCCCACUGGACAUGCGUGGUUCCACCACACUCUGAGCUGGAUGCUUGGAGGAAUCAUGUCCACGCCAGGGUGGUACCGUCAGAGGGGUGGGUGACUCCUGAGUGGAAUUUACUCUACAUGAUGAAAAUCUCCAGGGAUUACACCUCUGAGCAUCUUUGCAGACACAGAAACCGGAGAAUCUUAACUUUUUUUUUUUUUCAUUUUUAUUGGCCCCAGU